rnacentral:rRNA from 1 species
UACAGAGACUGCAAGCGUUAUUCGGAUUUACUGGGCGUAAAGCGUGCGCAGGCGGUUUUGUAAGUCUGUCGUGAAAUCCCCGGGCUCAACCUGGGAAUUGCGAUGGAGACUGCAAGGCUAGAAUCUGGCAGAGGGGGGGUAGAAUUCCACGUGUAGCAGUGAAAUGCGUAGAGAUGUGGAGGAACACCGAUGGCGAAGGCAGCCCCCUGGGUCAAGAUUGACGCUCAUGCACGAAAGCGUGGGGAGCAAACAGG